GAUGAAGAACGCAGCGAAAUGCGAUAAGUAGUGUGAAUUGCAGAAUUCAGUGAAUCAUCGAAUCUUUGAACGCAUAUUGCGCCCCUUGGUAUUCCGAGGGGCAUGCCUGUCCGAGCGUCAUUGCAACCCUUCAAGCACGGCUUGUGUGUUGGACGGCCGCCCCAGUGUGGGCGGGUCCCAAAUGCAGUGGCGGCGCCGCGAUCCGGGUGCUCGAGUGCAUGGAAACCACGCGCUCGUUAGGCCCCGUCGGGCGCCGGCCGACCUAAUUAUCUUCGUUCUGGUUGACCUCGGAUCAGGUAGGAAUACCCGCUGAACUUAAGCAUAUCAAUAAGCGGAGGA
rnacentral:misc_RNA from 1 species